UCCUCACUCAGCCCUGCCCCUCAGCCCUCACCAUCUCAGAACAAUGCCCUUCCCUCCACUGGCGCCCACUCAGCCUGCAGACUGGUCCCAGGGUCCAGCGCAGGGACCAUCAUGGCAUCAGUGACCAGAAAAUUCUUUGGGAGUCAGUGACAGCAGUGGAUCAGGAUGAAGUUGAGGUCAUUCAGAAACUGGGAGGUGAAGGAGGCGAAAAAGUCCCAGAAGGUGGCCACCGAGGACCCUCUGGCCCUGCCGCAGCCACCUCGCCCUUCCUCCCUCACCCUGUGGACCUGACACCUUGGUGUGGGGAAGAUGAAGGAGCAGCUGAAGGUCCCACGUGCUCCUCAAAAGAAAUUAACUCAUCUCCAGAUAAUCAUCAGAGUCCAACUAAGUGGCUAAUAGAACAGAACAGGACGUGAAAGCAAACAGCCCUUCAAGCCCACAGGCCUGUACAUCAAAGGAGUGGUCAACUCCUGAGCACAGUCAGCAGAGCAGCUGCUUUGCCUCUGGGAACAUGCGGGAGAUAGGAGGCUUCCUCCUUAACCCUACCGCAGAGGACUUCUCCUCUUUUACCAGCAGCCUCCUGCAGUACCCUCCCGGGUAAUGGAGCAGGGGUCGCUUCCCUUCCCAUGAGACCUUUGUUCAGGCACUCAAGUGGAAGGUUGAGCAAUAAGCCAACUUUCUUGCUCAGAGGCUCCGCAGACUUCCUGUGGUUGUUUGUUCCACUCUGUGGUCAGUCGAGCAAGCUCAC